rnacentral:rRNA from 1 species
GACGAACGCUGGCGGCGUGCUUAACACAUGCAAGUCGAACGGAAAGGCCCUGCUUUUGUGGGGUGCUCGAGUGGCGAACGGGUGAGUAACACGUGAGUAACCUGCCCUUGACUUUGGGAUAACUUCAGGAAACUGGGGCUAAUACCGGAUAGGAGCUCCUGCUGCAUGGUGGGGGUUGGAAAGUUUCGGCGGUUGGGGAUGGACUCGCGGCUUAUCAGCUUGUUGGUGGGGUAGCGGCUUACCAAGGCUUUGACGGGUAGCCGGCCUGAGAGGGUGACCGGCCACAUUGGGACUGAGAUACGGCCCAGACUCCUACGGGGGGCAGCAGUGGGGAAUAUGGCACAAUGGGCGGAAGCCUGAUGCAGCAACGCCGCGUGCGGGAUGACGGCCUUCGUGUUGUAAACCGCUUUCGCCUGUGACGAAGCUUGAGUGACGGUAAUGGGUAAAGAAGCACCGGCUAACUACGUG